GAAAAGUUGGCAUCUGCGACUGUGUUUUGGUCUCAGCCGCCAAUUGGGAGUCUCUCUUGUGGUACCCGGAGGGUAGGUUGGUUGCUUAGCAAUGGCAAUACGAACCGCUCAUCACCUGCCGGGCCAGGUAGCAAACGCUUUCUAUGCCGGGUGAUGCGAUGUAGCUUCAGAGCUCGGGCUCCGUUAAGCAGCUAGGGUUACCAGCUUCUUUUUCUGAUGCAGCUCCUCUGCUUUUCACCCUGCCCUGCCCUGAGAAAAGCGUUGUCGAUGGGCUUCGGUGAUUUGAGACUCUUCUCACGGUGGUUUUGCAGGGGACGUUCCUGCUCAUCUUUCGGAGUCGAAGGCCUGGAGGUCUCCCCAAAGACCUGCCCUGGCUGGGGAAGGACAGCAGCUCAGCGACAGAGCACUUCCCUUGCGGGCAAAAGGUCCUGAGUUCGAAUCCUGCCAACGGCUCCUGGUGUUGUUGAUUAGUCGUUUAGUCGUGUCCGACUCUUCGUGACCCCCUGGACCAGAGCACGCCAGGCACUCCUGUCUUCCACUGCCUCCCGCAGUUUGGUCAAACUCAUGUUUGUAGCUUCGAGAACACUGUCCAACCAUCUCGUCCUCUGCCGUCCCCUUCUCCUUGUGCCCUCCAUCUUUCCCAACAUCAGGGUCUUUUCCAGGGAGUCUUCUCUUCUCAUGAGGUGGCCAAAGUAUUGGAGCCUCAGCUUCAGGAUCUGUCCUUCCAGUGAGCACUCAGGGCUGAUUUCCUUCAGAAUGGAGAGGUUUGAUCUUCUUGCAGUCCAUGGGACUCUCAAGAGUCUCCUCCAGCACCAGAAUUCAAAAGCAUCAACUCUUCGGCGAGCAGCCUUCUUUAUGGUCCGGCUCUCGCUUCCAUACAUCACUAACUGGGAAAACCAUAGCUUUAACUAUACGGACCUUUGUUGGCAAGGUGAUGUCUCUACUUUUUAAGAUGCUGUCUAGGUUUGUCAUUGCUUUUCUCCCAAGAAGCAGGCGUCUUUUAAUUUCGUGGCUGCUGUCACCAUCUGCAGUGAUCAUGGAGCCCAAAAAAGUAAAAUCUCUCACUGCCUCCAUUUCUUCCCCUUCUAUUUGCCAGGAGGUGAUGGGGCCAGUGGCCAUGAUCUUUGUUUUUUUGAUGUUGAGCUUCAGACCAUAUUUUGCACUCUCCUCUUUCACCCCCAUUAAAAGGUUCUUUAAUUCCUCCUCACUUUCUGCCAUCAAGGUUGUGUCAUCUGCAUAUCUGAGGUUGUUGAUAUUUCUUCCGGCAAUCUUAAUUCCAGCUUGGGAUUCAUCCAGCCCAGCCUUUUGCAUGAUGAAUUCUGCAUAUAAAUUAAAUAAGCAGGGAGGCAAUAUACAGCCUUGCUGUACUCCUUUCCCAAUUUUGAACCAAUCAGUUGUUCCAUAUCCAGUUCUAACUGUAGCUUCUUGUCUCACGUAGAGAUUUCUCAGGAGACAGAUGAGGUGAUCAGGCACUCCCAUUUCUUUAAGAACUUGCCAUAGUUUGCUACGGAUAUCCUGUCUGAAGCCCUGGAGAACCACUGCCGGUCAGUGUUGACAAGACUGAACUAGAUGACCAGUGGCCCGACUUGCUGUGUUACACACACCAUAGGUCCAAAGUGCACACGGCAUCCCUCUUGGGAACUGUAGUUUUACGUGUGCUGAGAAUUGUAACUCCGCGAGGGGUAAACUACGGUACCCAGGAUGCUUUGGGGGGAAGCCCUGCACUUUAAAUGUGAGCUGUAUAAAGCACAUUUAAAACACACAAUUUCCCCCAAAGAGCCCUGGGGAACAUAGUUUAAGAGCGCUGGGAAUUGUAAGCCAGUGAGGGGUAAACUACAGUUCGCAAGAUUCUUUGGGUAUAGUGAUGCGCUUUAAAUACCUUCCUUAAAGGUAAAGGUAAAGGGACCCCUGACCAUUAGGUCCAGUCGCGGACGAUUCUGGGGUUGCGGCGCUCAUCUUGCUUUAUUGGCCGAGCGUACAGCUUCCAGGUCAUGUGGUCAGCAUGGCUAAGCUGCGUCUGGUGAACCAGAGCAGCGCACGGAAACGCCGUUUACCUUCCCGCCGG
rnacentral:lncRNA from 1 species